rnacentral:rRNA from 1 species
GACGAACGCUGGCGGCGUGCUUAACACAUGCAAGUCGAACGGAAAGGCCCUGCUUUUGUGGGGUGCUCGAGUGGCGAACGGGUGAGUAACACGUGAGUAACCUGCCCUUGACUUUGGGAUAACUUCAGGAAGCUGGGGCUAAUACCGGAUAGGAGCUCCUGCUGCAUGGUGGGGGUUGGAAAGUUUCGGCGGUUGGGGAUGGACUCGCGGCUUAUCAGCUUGUUGGUGGGGUAGUGGCUUACCAAGGCUUUGCCGGGUAGCCGGCCUGAGAGGGUGACCGGCCCCAUUGGGCCUGAGAUACGGCCCAGCCUCCUACGGGAGGCAGCAGUGGGGAAUAUUGCACAAUGGGCGGAAGCCUGAUGCAGCACCGCCGCGUGCGGGAUGACGGCCUUCGGGUUGUAAACCGCUUUCGCCUGUGACGAAGCGUGAGUGACGGUAAUGGGUAAAGAAGCACCGGCUAACUACGUG